UACGUAGGUGACCAGCGUUGUCCGGAUUUACUGGGCGUAAAGAGCGCGCAGGCGGUCGUUCAAGUCGAGUGUGAAAGCCCCCGGCUCAACUGGGGAGGGUCAUUCGAUACUGAUCGACUUGAAGGCAGGAGAGGGAAGUGGAAUUCCCGGUGUAGUGGUGAAAUGCGUAGAUAUCGGGAGGAACACCAGUGGCGAAGGCGACUUCCUGGCCUGUUCUUGACGCUGAGGCGCGAAAGCUAGGGUAGCAAACGGGG
rnacentral:rRNA from 1 species